rnacentral:lncRNA from 1 species
AUGCCAUAUGCACAGUUACAGGCGUUAGGACUGACAUAUCUUUUGGGGUACACAAGUCCACCUAUAACAGCGUGCCUGCAGGGCCUGUCUCUGGGUCCUCCUAUGCACAUCCCUGGUUGGUCUGGGACUAGAUUUUGUCUUCUGAGUCCUGGCUCAGGAGGUCCUAGGUGUCCCUUUUGGUUUUCUCAGAAACUUCAAGGUAGCAACCAUCUCCCUUUUCUCCUGUUGUCUUCCAUCAUAUCCUUUACUGGAUUUUUUCUGGUGCCAUUAAAACAUGCACAAGGCCCUCCCAUCUUAGAUCUCCCUCUACCCUAUGGCCCCAUUUUCCCAUUUCUCUCCUCUUUCUCCAAACUUUUCCAAAAGCAUCUUGUGUGCUCUCUGUCUCCCUCACCUCCCACUUCUUCCUCUGCUCCUUCCAGUCUGGCUUCUGCCUUCGUCAUUCCACAAACACACCCCUCACUGAGGUCACAAGUGACAGCCACAUUCCCAGCAGCUCUUACUCAUAUUGAUCUCUUUGUUGGUGAAGCAAUGUCUUCUCUCAGCUUCUGAGCUAAAACCGCUGGUUUCCUUCUCUUUUCUCUGGCCAUGCCAUGUCUCCUUGAAGGCUUUUCCUCCCCUCCCUGGCCAUUAAAUCAGUACUGCAUGUUCCGUGGGGUCUGUCCUAGGUCCUUGUCUCUUCUCACUUCACCCGUUGCUUAGGUGCUUUCAGCUGCCACCCCAGGCCUCAGUUACUACCUUUAUGCAGACAACUCACAACUUUACAGGGCCAGCCUAGACUUCUCUGCAUAUCUAGACUUGUGUAUUUUAAAUGCCUGUAAAACUAUUUUGUCUCUUUUGCUACCUCAAACUUAUGUUUAAAACUGAACUUGUAAUCUGCUCCUCUUCCUUCCAACCCCCUCCCCACCAUCCUCCAGCCCUGCUUACCCUAUCUUAAGAGACAUUACGAUCCCAGAAAUCUGGGGGAUUUUCUUUCUUGACAAUCUCACUCUUUGUCAUUUCAUCCAACACUUCAAGAAGUCCAGUUGAGUAGCCCUCCUAAGUAGCCCGCCUUUUCUUUUCUUUUCUUUUCUUUUCUUUUCUUUUCUUUUCUUUUCUUUUCUUUUAUUUCUUCUUUUCUUUCUUAGAUUUUAUGUAUUUGACAGAGAACACAGCAGGGGGAGUGGCAGGCAGAGGGAGAAGGAGAAACAGGCUUUCCGUUGAGCAGGGAGCCCGACAUGGGGCUUGAUCCCAGGAUCCUGGGAUCAUGACCUGAGCCUAAGGCAGACGCUUAAUCAACUGAGCCACCCAGGCACCCCCUUAAGUAGCCCUUUAUAUUUCUCUCCUCUCUAUCCCUGUCACCACCAUCUUGGUCCUAGCUACCAUCAUCUGAUGUCCUGACUCUUUUUUUUUUUUUUUUAAAGAUUUUAUUUAUUUAUUUGACUGAGACAGCCAGCGAGAG